GGAGGGUGCGAGCGUUAAUCGGAAUUACUGGGCGUAAAGCGCGCGUAGGUGGCUUGAUAAGCCGGUUGUGAAAGCCCCGGGCUCAACCUGGGAACGGCACCCGGAACUGUCAAGCUAGAGUGCAGGAGAGGAAGGUAGAAUUCCCGGUGUAGCGGUGAAAUGCGUAGAGAUCGGGAGGAAUACCAGUGGCGAAGGCGGCCUUCUGGACUGACACUGACACUGAGGUGCGAAAGCGUGGGUAGCAAACAGGAUUAGAUACCCUGGUAGUCCACGCCGUAAACGAUGUCGACCAGCCGUUGGGUGCCUAGCGCACUUUGUGGCGAAGUUAACGCGAUAAGUCGACCGCCUGGGGAGU
rnacentral:rRNA from 1 species